rnacentral:lncRNA from 1 species
UAAUUGGAAAAGGUCUGAUCAUGGUAGAUUAAAAUGUGUUUAAUAUGAAAUAUUCGUGUAUUAUAGAAAACAGUGAACCUAUGUUGAUGAAAAAUGAAACACGCCUGCAAAUCUUGUCCAAGAAAUUGAUGCUUUAAGGACAGAAAACAGGAAAUUAAAAAAUGCGGUAUUUAUAUUUGUGUAUUUUCUUUAAACUUGUAAAUAUCAUGCAUAUGAAUGAAUAAAUUAGAACAUGAUUACUUGAAAAUUUUUCA